AGCAGUCGCCGCGGUAAAACGGAGGGUGCAAGCGUUAAUCGGAAUUACUGGGCGUAAAGCGCACGCAGGCGGUCUGACAAGUCAGAUGUGAAAUCCCCGGGCUUAACCUGGGAACUGCAUUUGAAACUGUCAGGCUGGAGUCUUGUAGAGGGGGGUGGAAUUCCAGGUGUAGCGGUGAAAUGCGUAGAGAUCUGGAGGAAUACCGGUGGCGAAGGCGGCCCCCUGGACAAAGACUGACGCUCAGGUGCGAAAGCGUGGGGAGCAAACAGGAUUAGAUACCCCAGUAGUCCCUGUCUCUUAUAU
rnacentral:rRNA from 1 species